AGAAUUGGAAAAUGCAUGAGCUUCUAAAAGGGAGGAGAGAGGACACUGUGAGGAAAUAUUGUAUGGACCAAAACAAGAUCAAAACUCAGCAAGGUCAACUCCAAACCCUGUAGAUCCACGUCUGGUGUGAAUGGACUUAGGCGGUUCCAUCCUUCCUGCUUUGUUGACUACAGCACUGGUUCCAUCCUCGUAUGUCGUGCUCCUUGGCAUAUAUCUAAGGCUCUGGCUUCUCCAGCAUCUUGGGUCUCAAUUACAAUCCAUACUUCACUUACCCGCUUCAUGCAACAACUCCUCUGGGCCUCCAUGCCAAGACUCGCCGACCACACACUUGGCCUGGGCAGCUCUCUUUUACCUCAGUGGAAGAGUUCACAGUCCCCUUCCUCCUGCAUCCUUCUCGACUCUGAAGCCAGAAUCGUGUAGAACCACGUGGCCGACAUUGCCCAGCUCUGGUGACUUGCUUGGCUUAGAAUCUGGCUCUGUCUUUGAAUUGAAUUUGCAUAAGCUUUUACUUGCUGUUGCUCAUUAAGAACUGGUCAGCCCCAGAAGUCCUGCCCUGGAACUUGCAGUGUCUCUAGGUGACCUUGGAUGAUAGGCAUAUGCCCGACAUCAACCCAGGAUGUUCUUGCAUGAUGACUUUUCAGCGAAACACACUUAAGAUUGGCUUCCUCAGACCUCGAGGUCCUGUGGGUAAGUGAAGUAAAAGCUGCCUGUUCUCCUUCCACUUCAGAUACAUAAAGGUCACUGGCUGCUGCUGAGCACCUGGGACAAGGCUGAUGGUGUUGAAGUCUUCCAGCCUUGGGCUGGGCUGCCGUGGAGUGCUGCACAGGAAGGCAGAUGUGGGGCAAAGGCUCUUAGGCCCCCAGCACCCGCUGAGGAGGAAAAUGAGCCUGGACGGAGCACACCUGGUCCAAACGAAAGCACCUGGCCUGGGCCUGGAAAAUACACGGCAAACCACUCUCCAGCUUCGAUGGGCCCUUCCUUACCUUGCCUCCACUGUCUGUCUCUCCCAGUCUAGAUGCACGACCCUUGGUGGGUUCCUGGCAGUGGACAGGGCAGACCCUUGGUGGGCUGAGAGCAAAAUAGCCUGGUGAAACCCCCAGAGGAGAGAGAACUCCUCACCCCCUUCUCAGUAAGCAUGUAUCUAUGUGAGAUCUGGACAAAUCCUCCCCGGGAACACAUGUGUAUUACAGAGGUAAGGAAGUAGAUUCCCUACUCUGUACCCUGGAAAAAUAAAGGACCCACCCAAAUUCAAA